GAUGAACGCUGGCGGCGUGCUUAAUACAUGCAAGUCGAGCGAACAGACGAGGAGCUUGCUCCUCUGACGUUAGCGGCGGACGGGUGAGUAACACGUGGAUAACCUACCUAUAAUACUGGGAUAACUUCGGGAAACCGGAGCUCAUACCGGAUAAUAUAUUGAACUGCAUGGUUCAAUAUUGAAAGACGGUUUUGCUGUCACUUAUAGUUGGAUCCGCGCCGCUUUAGAUAGUUGGUGAGGUAACGGCUUACCAAGGCAACGAUGCGUAGCCGAGCUGAGAGGGUAGUCGGCCCCACCGCACCUGAGACACGGCACAGACUCCUACGGGAGGCAGCAGUGGGGAAUGUUCCACUGUGGGCUAAAGCCGGACGGGGCGACGCCGCGUGAGUGAUGGAGGUUUUGGGAUCGUAAAACUCUGUUAUUGUGGAAGAACAGAUGUGUAGGUAACUAUGCACGUCGUGACGGUACCUAAGCAAAAAGCCACGGCUAACUACGUG
rnacentral:rRNA from 1 species